AACGAACGCUGGCGGCAUGCCUAACACAUGCAAGUCGAACGAGACCUUCGGGUCUAGUGGCGCACGGGUGCGUAACGCGUGGGAACCUGCCCUUAGGUUCGGAAUAACUCCCCGAAAGGGGUGCUAAUACCGGAUAAUGUCUUCGGACCAAAGAUUUAUCGCCUUUGGAUGGGCCCGCGUUGGAUUAGCUAGUUGGUAGGGUAAAAGCCUACCAAGGCGACGAUCCAUAGCUGGUCUGAGAGGAUGAUCAGCCACACUGGGACUGAGACACGGCCCAGACUCCUACGGGAAGCAGCAGUGGGGAAUAUUGGACAAUGGGCGAAAGCCUGAUCCAGCAAUGCCGCGUGAGUGAUGAAGGCCUUAGGGUUGUAAAGCUCUUUUACCCGGGAUGAUAAUGACGGUACCGGGAGAAUAAGCCCCGGCUAACUCCGUG
rnacentral:rRNA from 1 species